CCAAGGGCUCAUCUCAUUUUGGAACCUACAUAACAUGUUUUUGUUUCACCCAUCUUGGACUGAGAAAUAUAAAAAGUGAUUCUAUACUGUUUGUGUGUCCAAUAAACACUGAAGGGCAUUUAAGAGAUCAGCUUUCAUUUUCAGGAAAAAAAACAAAAACUAUUUGCUUAAAUACUUCUGCACUGGGUGGAAAGGAGAGAGCAAAAGACUGUCAUUUUUUAAAAAG
rnacentral:lncRNA from 1 species